AUGGGCGCAAGCCUGAUCCAGCCAUGCCGCGUGAGUGAUGACGGCCUUAGGGUUGUAAAGCUCUUUUAUCCGGGACGAUAAUGACGGUACCGGAGGAAUAAGCCCCGGCUAACUUCGUGCCAGCAUACGA
rnacentral:rRNA from 1 species